rnacentral:Y_RNA from 1 species
AGUGGUCCAAUGGCAGUGUGGUUUAUCAACAUUAGUGUUACUACAGCUGAUAUAUAACCCCCCACUGCUAAAUUUGACUGGCUUAAA